rnacentral:misc_RNA from 1 species
UCACCGCUUACGCGGGCAGUCUCAUUAGAGUCCUCAGCAUUACCUGCUAGCAACUAACGAUAGGGGUUGCGCUCGUUGCGGGACUUAACCCAACAUCUCACGACACGAGCUGACGACGGCCAUGCAGCACCUAGUUUCGUGCCAUUGCUGGCUGACAUAUUUCUACGUCAUUCACUAACGUUCAAGCCCUGGUAAGGUUCCGCGCGUAUCAUCGAAUUAAACCACAUGCUCCUCCGCUUGUGCGGGCCCCCGUCAAUUCCUUUGAGUUUCAGCCUUGCGGCCGUACUCCCCAGGUGGAUCACUUAAUGCUUUCGCUUAGACGCGUACAGUGUAUCGCACACAUCGAGUGAUCAUCGUUUAGGGCGUGGACUAC